CGCCCCAGGGCCGGGUUUCCACACCCGAAAUGCCGCGCCCCGGGCAAGGUUCGCCCUCAGGAAGGAUUUAUGCCGCGUUGUAGGGCUGCAGUGUCCCUGGGCUCCAACCUGAAGGAGCACGUUGUCAUUGACGCACUGUGGUCAUCCUGAACUGGUGCUUCAAGCAGAGACUGCUCAACAUGAGGAGGAUCUGCAUGUUCAUGCUGGACAAGGCUGGACCUCAUGAUUGACAUGCAGGACUUCUGCUCCCAGAGCAUCCACAUCCAGAGAUGGAUCACAGAAACCUGCUUUUGGCACAGGAAAAUGCAAAAGGGGGGAGUUAGAAGGGCUCUCCUAAAAGACUGACAGAUGCUGCUUUUCUCUGCCACCUUCUGUAAAAUGUGUGGAAGUUCACCUUGCAGAUCAUCUCCAGAUCCAUCAUCAUCAAGCUGCGGCAGGAGAAGCUUGCCCUGACCAACACCAGGCUACUGCUUUGUCUGCAGGAACUGGGAGCAGAAGUAUGCAGCCCUCUGCAACCUCUAUGGCAGCAUUUCCAGGCCUUAAUGUUCUGCCAGGUACAGCUCAUUGGUAAGCAGUGAGCUGCCAGUGAUCCAUCUGACAUGAUCAAGCCCAGUGUGAUGUCAAGUCUACUUCAAUGAUCGCCAAAAACGAGGGAACAAGGUGCAAGGCAUGGAUGAGAAACACACAGUGAGAAUUAAAAGCUCAGAGUUAAGUUAGAGGAACAAUAGUAGGGAUUUGGAGAAGUUAAAGGAACAUAGAUUGAGACCAACAGUUGCAGAGCUGCUGGAGAAGCUUAGCUGCCUUCUUUCACCCAUGCAGACCUGCUGGAGGGCAGACUGACUCAGUGAAGAUGAUUCUAGAUGGGCACUGAGUGAUCCUUCAUUCAUUCUCUACACUUCUGUCUCCCUUUUUUCCAAACCAUCUGUUAGGAAAAGUUCUGCUGAGAAUGAACUUUUAUGCAUGUAGAGAAAGGAAUAAAAAAAAAAAAUAAUCUCAAGGAAUCCAUACCUAGUGACGCACAGAGAAGCGUGGAAGAUUCAAAGUCUUGGCCUGAGAAAAUUAUUUGGUCAGCAAUAUAAAAAAUGGAGAGAGCAGACAGUCAAGACCAGAAAUGUAGAUUUGCCAGUAAUCAAGCCAGAUGCUUAAGAUUUUGAUGGUAUAUUUGUGGUGACAGGGAAGAGUGUGUUAAGUGGUGCACAUUAGAUAAGCUAGGCAUCACUUGGAAACCUGUGUGCCUGGAGCACUUAGUGUCAUGCCCAGGGUGCUGCCAGGGUAGAGGUGCUGUCCACAGGAAGAAAUGAGCAAGACGUAUGGAAGGACGGGGAGCCACAUUUUAACCUUGAGUUGAUGGCUAGAUAGGAAGGAUCUUGGAGCACUAACUUGGUCUAGGGGAGAGAAACCAGAAGUGUAACUGGAUGUGAGUUCUCCUCUUUUGCUGUUGUCUUGUCUGCCCACCUCAGCUUGGGCAGAGCCAUGGAAGCCCUCAGUCUUGUUCUCCCAAGGGAUUCUGUUCGAUGCUGGAACUAUGAAAGUAGGUUUAUGCUCCCACCCCAGGGAGCUGGGUAACUUCCCAGUUCUGAGGCACGCGGGUGGGAGAGGGCAGGCCACUGCCUCUGCCCCUUUCUGUCUCUGCUUAAUGGCAGCAUUUCUUCUUCUUCCUGUCAAGACUUUGCUCAAGAAGUUGUCUCGCUCCAAUUUAUAGGAGGGAGAGGAGGUUCUUUUAUUGUCUAUCUACCCGGUGUGAGAUUAAGAAACA